GGGGAAGGGUAGCCUGCUACCUGACCUAGCGGCGGCCGGUGUGAGUAACGCCCAGGAACCCGCCUACUCAGCGGGGGACAACAUGUCCGAAAGGAACGCUAACACCGCCAUACGCCCCACGGGGGAAAGCAGGGGUAUCAUCGGACCCCGCGCUAACAGACGAGCCUAAGUUAGCUACCACCCAGACGGGGGGGAAAAGGCCAACCAAGGCGCACGAUCAGAAGCCGCUCCGAGAGGAUGAUCCGCCACACUGGGACUGACACACGGCCCAGACUCCUACGGGAGGCAGCAGGGGGGAAUACUUGGACAACAGGGCGAAAGCCUGAACCAGCCACGCCGCGAGGGGGAAGAACGCCCCGAGGGUGUAAAGCACUCAAAGCGAGGACGAGGCGACCAGAGAUUAACACCCCCAGGACAGUGGACGCUACCUUGCACAAUAAACCACCGGGAAACGUCCGCGCCAGCAGCCGCGGGAACACAGCAGGGCCGCGAGCGCCCAG
rnacentral:rRNA from 1 species